AGGACGAACGCUGGCGGCGUGCCUAACACAUGCAAGUGGAGCGACGAACCAGGCUUCGGCCUGGGGCAGAGCCGCGAACGGGUGAGUAACACGUGGGUAACCUGCCCUGAUGAUUGGGACAACCCGAGGAAACUCGGGCUAAUACCGAAUGUGCCCUCCGGCCUCAAGGCCGUUGGGGAAAGGAAGCUUCGGCCUCCGCAUCGGGAUGGGCCCGCGGCCCAUUAGCUUGUUGGUGAGGUAACGGCUCACCAAGGCAACGAUGGGUAGCUGGUCUGAGAGGACGAUCAGCCACACUGGGACUGAGACACGGCCCAGACUCCUACGGGAGGCAGCAGUGGGGAAUCUUGCGCAAUGGGCGAAAGCCUGACGCAGCGACGCCGCGUGGGGGAUGAAGGCCUUCGGGUUGUAACCCUUCAGCAGGGACGAAGCGAAGUGACGGUACCUGCAGAAGAAGCGCCGGCUACUACGCGCCAGCAGCCGCGGU
rnacentral:rRNA from 1 species